rnacentral:rRNA from 1 species
GAAUUUUAUAUAGAUUAAUUAUUUUUGGAUAAGUUUGGAUAAGUAAUUAAAUACAUUUAGUUGGGAGGAUUGUUAAAUUAAGGGAACUUUAAUUAAAUAGAUAAUAUAAAUUAAUGGAUUUAAGAAUGGUUAAUAAAUUAAGAAAGAAUUAAUUACCUUAGGGAUAACAGCGUAAUAUUUUUGGAGAGAUCAUAUUAAUAAAAAUGUUU